rnacentral:rRNA from 1 species
GGCGCACGGGUGCGUAACGCGUAUGCAAUCUACCUCUUACUGGGGAAUAGCCCGGAGAAAUCCGGAUUAACACCGAUAAUAUAUUGAGAAGGCAUCUUUUAAUAUUAAAUAUUUAUAGGUAAGAGAUGAGCAUGCGUCCAAUUAGUUAGUUGGUGAGGUAACGGCUCACCAAGACAAUGAUUGGUAGGGGUUCUGAGAGGAAGGUCCCCCAACUGGUACUGAAGAUAACGGACCAGACUCCUACGGGAGGCAGGCAGUAGGGAACUUAUUUGGGGCAUGGGACCGAGAGUCUGACCCCAGNCAUGCCGCGUGCAGGAAGAAGGCCUUCUGGGUUGUAAACUGCUUUUGAUCGGGAACAAAAGAACCCUUGCGAGGGAAGUUGAGUGUACCGAUAGAAUAAGCACCGGCUAACUCCGUGCCAGCCGCCGCGG